rnacentral:miRNA from 1 species
GUGACAUAACACCUUUCAAAAUAACCGAUUUCAAAUGGUGCUAGAAACUCUGCAGACUCUGAACACCAAAGGAAAUCAGUCAUCCUGAGAAAGGUCUGAGUUCAUGGGC